UACGUAGGGCGCAAGCGUUGUCCGGAAUUAUUGGGCGUAAAGGGCGCGUAGGCGGUCAUUUAAGUCUGAUGUGAAAGCCCACGGCUCAACCGUGGAGGGUCAUUGGAAACUGGGGGACUUGAGUACAGAAGAGGAAAGCGGAAUUCCACGUGUAGCGGUGAAAUGCGUAGAGAUCGGCAGGAACACCCAGGGGGAAACCAGUCGACUGGGCAUCUACUGACGCUGAGGUGCGAGAGCGUGGGGAGCGAACCGG
rnacentral:rRNA from 1 species